rnacentral:rRNA from 1 species
ACUAAAUAGAUACCCAGGUAGUCCCAGCCGUAAACGAUGCUCGCUAGGUGUCAGGCAUGGCGCGACCGUGUCUGGUGCCGCAGGGGAAGCCGUGAAGCGAGCCAUCUGGGAAGUACGGCCGCAAGGCUGAAACUUAAAGGAAUUGGCGGGGAGCACAACAACGGGUGGAGCCUGCGGUUUAAUUGGACUCAACGCCGGACAACUCACCGGGGGCGACAGCAAUAUGUAGGCCAAGCUGAAGACUUUGCCUGAAUCGCUGAGAGGAGGUGCAUGGCCGUCGCCAGUUCGUACUGUGAAGCAUCCUGUUAAAGUCAGGCAACGAGCGAGACCCGGUGCCCACUGUUACCAGCAUGUCCUCCGGGACGAUGGGUACUCUGUGGGGACCGCCUAUGUUAAAUAGGAGGAAGGUGCGGGCCACGGUAGGUCAGUAUGCCCGGAAUCUCCUGGGCUACACGCGGGCUACAAUGGAUGGGACAAUGGUCCUACUCCGAAAGGAGCUGGUAAUCUCACAAA